rnacentral:rRNA from 1 species
CACGUAGGGCGCAAGCGUUGUCCGGAAUUAUUGGGCGUAAAGAGCUCGUAGGCGGCUCAGUAAGUCAGGUGUGAAACCUCCAGGCUCAACCUGGAGACGCCACCUGAUACUGCUGUGGCUAGAGUCCGGUAGGGGAGCGUGGAAUUCCUGGUGUAGCGGUGAAAUGCGCAGAUAUCAGGAGGAACACCAGCGGCGAAGGCGGCGCUCUGGGCCGGAACUGACGCUGAGGAGCGAAAAGCGUGGGGAGCAAACAGGAUUAGAAACCC